AUUGAACGCUGGCGGCAUGCCUUACACAUGCAAGUCGAACGGUAACGGGCCUUCGGGUGCCGACGAGUGGCGAACGGGUGAGUAAUACAUCGGAACGUGCCCGAUCGUGGAGGAUAACGAGGCGAAAGCUUUGCUAAUACCGCAUACGAUCUACGGAUGAAAGCAGGGGACCGCAAGGCCUUGCGCGGACGGAGCGGCCGAUGGCAGAUUAGGUAGUUGGUGGGAUAAAAGCUUACCAAGCCGACGAUCUGUAGCUGUUCUGAGAGGAUGAUCAGCCACACUGGGACUGAGACACGGCCCAGACUCCUACGGGAGGCAGCAGUGGGGAAUUUUGGACAAUGGGCGCAAGCCUGAUCCAGCCAUGCCGCGUGCAGGAUGAAGGCCUUCGGGUUGUAAACUGCUUUUGUACGGAACGAAAAGCCUUCUUUUAAUACAGGAGGGUCAUGACGGUACCGUAAGAAUAAGCACCGGCUAACUACGUG
rnacentral:rRNA from 1 species